UACGUAGGUCCCGAGCGUUGUCCGGAUUUAUUGGGCGUAAAGCGAGCGCAGGUGGUUUAUUAAGUCUGGUGUAAAAGGCAGUGGCUCAACCAUUGUAUGCAUUGGAAACUGGUAGACUUGAGUGCAGGAGAGGAGAGUGGAAUUCCAUGUGUAGCGGUGAAAUGCGUAGAUAUAUGGAGGAACACCGGUGGCGAAAGCGGCUCUCUGGCCUGUAACUGACACUGAGGCUCGGAAGCAUGGGUAGCGAACAGG
rnacentral:rRNA from 1 species